CUAGGUGAUAGUGAAUAGGAAUAGUGAAGAUAGCCUCCCAAGUGCUUCAGAACUACCACAAAGACUGAGGAUGCUGUUAACAAGCAGAUCAACCUGGAGCUCUAUUCCUCCUAUGUUUACCCCUCCAUGGUCUCUUACUUUGACCAGGAUGAUGUUGCCCUGCGUCACUUUGCUGAGUUCUUCGAGGAACAGGAACAUGCUGAGAAACUGAUGGCAUUCCAGAAUAAACGUGGAGGCUGAAUCCUCCUGCAGGACAUCCAGCUGAGAGACUUCCUGGAGAAGCACUACUUGGAUGAGCAAGGGAAGAUGAUCAAGAAGCUGGGACAUGACAUCACCAACCUGAAGAGACUGGGAGCCCCUGACAAUGGCAUGGGAGAGUACCUGUUUGACAGGCUCACCCUGGGGGACAGUGACUGAACUGACUGCAG